UACGAGGGGAGCAAGCGUUAUUCGGAAUUACUGGGCGUAAAGCGCGUGAAGGCGGCGUGUUAAGUCGAUUGUUAAAUCUUGCAGCUUAACUGCAAGGCUGCGAUUGAUACUGGCAUGCUAGAGUUUGGAAGAGAGAAGUGGAAUUCUCGGAGUAGCGGUAAAAUGCGUAGAUCUCGAGAGGAACACCGAUGGCGAAGGCAGCUUCUUGGUCCAUGACUGACGCUCAAACGCGAAGGCGUGGGGAGCAAACAGG
rnacentral:misc_RNA from 1 species